rnacentral:lncRNA from 1 species
GUGCACCUGGAGCCCACUCCACCUGAUGCCUCCACAGCCCUCACAGGGUCUGACCUCCCAGCAUGCACCUGCCUCUCCCUGCACCCCAGCUGUCCACCCUACCUGUUCCCUGACUUCCUCCAUCCUGUCCAGCAGGAUGGGAUGGACAUGGGGACAGCCUGUUUGCACAUUUCGUGGCGAGUGGGAGUGACACACCAUCUCUGGGAGGCACCAUGCUUCCUGCCAAACCCGAUCCCAAGACUCUGUCCUUGAGGUGGUUUUACCAAACCCCAAACCCAGAACUGCGGUUGUGGCUCAGGGGUCAGCUCCUGCUAGUGCCAGGACACUACUGGGAGGCUGGGACCUGACCAAAGCCCAUGGUGUCUCUGGCCUGAGGACAAGGUGUCUUGGGACCAUAAGGCCAGGCCACCAAUGGCCAUUGGGUCAUAGGGGCUUAGCCCCAAUGUUUGUCCUACCCUGACUCCUUCUGGUUCAGUCCCAUCAGGGCCCUGGAUCCCAAGACUCAGCAUCCAAGGUCCCCUCCAGGAAUCCUGGCAGCUCAGCAUGCUUUAUCCCAUUUCAUCUGAGAGCAAAAAUGUAAAAUUGUAUGCACAGAAAAGUGACUCAAAGUGCUUAAUGACUAGAAGAAAUCUAGGAGCAGCAAGAAGGUAAUGUGGAGGGAGGGACCUCCAUGACCGGUGUCUGCAGAGCCAGGGGUACAGGCACCCAGUGCUGUGGCCUGGCACCACCGGCCUCUCAGAGGGUGGGUGGCACACUCCUUACCCACAGGACAGCAGGCCUGGUCACCAGCUUUUCUACCUGUCUGUGUAGGCAUCACAUUGCUGGAGGAAAAUCUCAUGCCAGAGCUUGGACCAUCCCUAGCUCAGGGGUUAAGGGUUGUCCCUUGGUGACCUAAAUGAAAAAACAGGUCCAGAACAGAGUUCCUGAUGCUGGACACUCAUUCAGUCUUUGAAUCGUGGGAUGGGAGGCCUGGUACUAGGUAGACCUAACCUCUUUGAGGAACCACAGAGCCCAAGGCUGGAAACCUCCAGAAUCCUCCACCCCCUGAUCCUCCCUGGGGACCCCUGUGGCCUAUCUCACUGAGCACUCUUCCAUCUGUAGAUGUCUGGGUUGCUGUACAAGGGAGUCCCCUUUCAGGUGUGGUGCUAGACAUGGUCACUCCUGCUGGAUGUCUAGAUGGUAGAAACCAAGGACCUAGGGAAAUAGCAGGUACAGCCUUUCCACGCUCAUCCAGAGCAGGACAAACAGGCCAGGCAGGGUCAGGAGCCCAGGUCUCCAGCUGGAGGGAACUUCAACCCUGCAGUGGGAGCAGGGGCCCUUUGCACAUCCUAGGCACAGAUGGUAAUGUAGACACCACAGGUAAGCUGGGCUUUGUACCUACCCCUCCCCGGAUUCAAAGAAGCCAAACAAGGAGCUUUGUGCAGAAUGAAACCUCCUUUCCUCCCAGAAGCACUGCUGACUGUUUGGUCGUUGCCAUUUGUGGCAGUGAGCCUUUGUUUGUUCUGAGGUUGGGCUGGUUUCUCCUCUUGGCCCUGCCCUACAGAUCAAAAAGGAGAACAGCAAGAGGUCCCCAGCAAACAUCCACAGAUGGCCUUGGAAAUAAGUCACCUUGUGAGAAACAUGUCAUGUUCUGGGAGGGAUAAGGCAUCAAGUAAGGCCUAUGGGGUUGGAGGAUCCCUGGGCAGGUGGGGCAAUCCUUGGAGUCUUCCCAUGGGAAUAGGGAGGUCCUGAGGCAGAGGCAGGGGUUCCACAGGAGGAGUCACAGAGCUACCAAGGGCUCUCCUGUGCCAGGAAGCAGUCAAUACCAUGAACUGAACACCUGCUGGCCUCCAAGCCCUGGUCCAGGCUGGGGCAUGUGGGGCCAGGAGGCAGCUCAGGGAGGCAGAGAGAAGUGUGCUCAGAGGGCACCCAUUUCUGGGUGUAAUGUGGUCCAGAGAUUUUGGCUGGGAAGGGCUUCCAGAGUUUCAUAUGUGUUACGGAGCUGCUUCCUCUCCCUAGCCUCACCCUGCAGGAAUGCCAGUGAACAUAUUGCUGACAUCUUGGAGCUCAGUACCCUCAUAGUGUAACGGCGUCAGCAGAUCUGCCUGUGCUUGGACUUCCUGUACUACCCAUUCCUGAGGGGCGAUGCUUCUGCAGGGCCUGUGACUUGGUGCACAACUUCAGACACCAUCAUCUUGCAGCAGCACCGCACCCUCACUAGCCAGGGUGUUGAUGACUUCCUCAAGGCCAGGGCCACGUUCAAGGCUUCAGACUUCAUUGAUGCACUUGUGCUGAGCAAGGUGGCUUCUCCGGGAUCUUAAUUCAGGAGGUAGAAUGGAGCUUGAGAUCAAGCGUCUGAUCAAGGUACUUGAACUUGAUCUGGAGGGCUCUGGGGAGCCAUGGAAGGUGCUGGAUAAAGGAGUGACAGUCAGCUAUGUUUUAGAGAUGACUGUAGAAGGCUGUCUGGAAGGAGUGAACAAGAGCCAGGAGACCAGGGAGGGAGCUUGUGGGGCAGGUCUGGAGAUGGCAAGGGAGGGAUCCUACUUGGAUGAAAGGUCUUCAGGGACUGUCUCAGGUUACACACAGGUGUCCUCAGAGCUAGUGUGUUCAGAGUCUUGCCUCCAGGAUGAAAAUGGGAAGGAGUUGUCAGACGAGGACAUAUAAAUGGAGGCUGGCAUAUUCAUGAGUGCUGGUGGUGGUCCCGGUGUGGGACUACUGUGGGAACAGGGGUCUCUCCAUCCAGGCAUAUGACGGAUGGACCCUACAUCACUCCAUUCUGCCCUUCCUUUCCCUCCUCCCAUUCUCCCGAAAGCCUCAGUGUAUGGGCACUGUUCAUCCUCUGGUGCUGAAGCAGCCAAAAGACACAAGUCUGCCUGGCUGCCUCUUAGGAUAUGACAGCAGAGCCAGUGGCCUCUACUAGAUCCUGUACAACCUCACAAAACACCCAGACGUUGGGAGUGCUGCCAGCCUGUGAUGCAAGAGUCCUGAUCCUGAAGACAUUAAAUGACCUGUCAUUGUGCUGUUUUUACCAAAAAGGAUCAUGAGGAUCAGAGAGGAAAAGUCACUUGCCCAAAGUCACACAGCUGAACAGUGGUGGAGUUCAACUUUGACCGUGGGCUGUCUGGCUCCAAGGUGUAUGCUUGCUUCUCUCCCAAGAGACUCCUUUCUUAUCAGCCUCAAAUGAAUGAAUGAAUGGAGGAUGUUAAAGACAACGCCAUUAUUGACGAGAUCACUCCCAAGUGGAUUAGAAAUCUCCAAUACUUAGACCUAUAGCAAGGCCUUGGGAGAAAUGGUGGUGCAGCAGGAGAGCAGGAACCUAACCAUUGCCAUCCUAAGGCCCUCCAUUGUGCGGAGCAACGUGGCACCAGCUUUUCCUGGGUUGGGUUGAUAAUCUAAAUGGAUGUAGCCGACUCAUUAUUGCGGUAUGUGUAGGGAUGAAGAAGUAACUGUAAUGUAGUGGAGGAAUAGUAACAAAAUUCUUAGUGCUGGCUUAGCUUCAUUGAUCCAAAAACAUAAAUGCUACUUUACUAUCAAUUGAAGCAUAUUAUUUCAAUUAUUCUGGUUAUAAUAUGGAGGCAGGAUGAAAUUAUUUUUAUUCUUUUAGAAUUUUUUUAUCAGGAAAAGAGAGGUAAAGUGCUAUCAAUUACUAUUUAAGAGUUCUAUUUUGAAAAGUGAGAAUUAAGGAUUUUUCUUUUCUUUUUAAAAAAACGUUUUUAAAAAUUAAAAAUAAAACAAGCAAAAGUCUUAUGAAAAUGAAGCAAGUAGCCCUGCCACUCUAUGUACAGUAAUAACAAUAUUUGUCACAGUUAUUAUGUACAAUAUUAUAAAAAAUGUCACAUACAGUGCAAAUUAAGGCCCUUAUUUCUCAAAGGACAUCAAGUCUUAUGCCCCGUGGGAGGGAAGAUGCCACUUAAUUAUUGCGCCAUUUUGAAAAACAGAACUCGUCAAGGCAGGUAGUGGUCUUUUCCCACCUGGUCUUCAGUCACAGAUGGGGGCUGGG